GCGGAUGGGAAGAGCAGAUGAAGGGGCCGUGCCCCAGGAGAAUCAAGCUCUGGACUUGGGAGGGCGUGUGGUCAGUCCGGAUGGAUAAGCGGGAUGGGCAUGAUGCAAAGUACCUGAUGGACGGGUGGGACGACUUCGUCGACGCUCAUGGCGUGGAAGCAGACGACCUGCUAACCUUCCAGAUCGUGGAGCCUGACGGCUGGUAUGUUCGAAUCUACGCUCCCUGUGGCAAGGAGAGGCCGAUUGGACGACUGCUGCUCUAGCCAGCGCAUCCGCCCAUGAUGAUUCGCCGGGAUGCUAGUAUCGUAGACUGUCGUAGUAUGCUAUGUUCUCGUAUGUGAUGCCUCGUGCUUUACUGUUUUAUGUUCUGGUAUGAUCUUUGCUGUCCUAGUAGGCUCUGUUCUUUGCUGCCAGGUUAUCAAGUUACUUAUUCCGUGUUGAUCUAUGUAACAGAACUAUGAUCCGGAAACAUUUUUCAGAUUUUAUGUGUUUCCUUUCAAUAUUAAUAUCUGCAGCAUCCAUGUGUUAUUAAGUUACUACACAUUCUUAUACCCCGACGCUCAGAUGCGUAAUAUGAAUCAGCCUCUGUUUUGGCUAGAUAAUUUGUUUAGCCAUUUUCCAAAAAAUACGCACAAAGCGUGUUCGCUUUCAUCGACUAGUGCUCCGUUGAGUAAACUAGUUAUUAUUCAGAUAUAUAUCAGAAAAGGAGCUCAUUUAUGAAGUUUUUGACCUUGAAUAAAAUUUGGCAAUUCAGUUCUCACAUAUUAUUUGGCGCGGGGACUGUGUAGCUUGCGGUGUCGAAAAGGCAACACACCUCUGAAGGAGUAGUUUAAAUAGGGAGCCAAUCCUUUUUCAUUUGGUGGUGGGAAUUUUAAACUUGAACACAAUGUGGCGUUUUCGGUUCUCGCACAUUAAUUGGCAUCUCGAGUUAUGGUUUCUACCUUCUUGAUCCAAAUAUAGAUCAUACACUGCAUAUUAAGCUUAACAAAAAUACGGCCGAGGAAGAGCUGCAGCAUCACACCGCACACAUACACGGGUAGGUUGGGUUGAGAAACUCAUAACUCCCUGCGCCAAGUAAUGUGGGCUGUGUUUUUCAUGGGCAUGGACUCGACGACCGUCAACAGCCUCUGAGUCGAUCGUGCCCCCAUCUAGCACACCGAUGAUUGUGUGAGGGCGAAGAUGUCGGUGUCCGCUACGACGGGAGGCACCUACCCAGACUCAGGGGCUAGUGUCGAGCUAAAGCAUAAAAAGUACCGUCGUUGCUCCACCUAAAAGCUACAGUGUGUGGUUGCGGGGUGAUGCCGCGGCUCUUCCUCGAGCUUAAUUUUAUUAAGCUCGGCAUGCUUUGUAUGAUCUAUUUGUGGAUCCUUUUUGCAAGAAGGGAGAAAUCAUAGCGCCAAGUAAUGUGGGCGCGGGGGAUGAAAAUGCGUAGCAACUUAAAAAACACAUGCAUGCUGUAGAUAUCUAUAUAUAUAUAAGAACAUAGAAUCUAGAAAAUGUCUCGGAUCAUAGAUCUGUUACAUGCCCAUUAUAAAUGACUAGAUAAAAAUUAAAGGAAAUAAUCCAUCAGACAAAGAAGAUUUCCCAAGAUACAUGAAUUUGUAGGAAACAAAUCCUAGCAGCACAUAACACUUCUACAAUCUUGUGAAUGACCGUGGCCAUGGCAUGCAGACCGGGGUCACCAUCGUGACAACAUUAGGGUUCAUGACAUGUCCGAUUUUCAUAGCCCGUCCAGACAUUGUAUCAACUAAGAAAAUGUGUGGGCAAAAACCAAAUGUGAUGAUGGCGUAAGAGCCAUUUCUUCCGACGGCUCUAAUCUUCAUGGAGAAAAAGUCCCCCCCGCCGCCGGCUACAUCCCAGAAAGACGAUACUAUAUACCCAUCGAAGAUGAGCUUAAGGUUGUGGCUCGCAUGUAGCUGCCAAUCAUAUGAUCUGGCCUUCAUCGUGCAAGUCCAGUUCUCCAGCACGCCCCCCCCGGCGAAGAAGGAUACAUAUGCCGGACUGGCCCGACCGUGCCAUCAUGUAAUCCAUGUCCUUAGCGUUGCUAAAGGCAGCCGGAAGCUUGGCCAUGCCGAACUUACGAGACGCUAGAUCGUACGAAAACAGAAAACCUACGACAUACAUCAUGUACAACACGCCGUCUACCACUAUGGCGCAUGGAUCAUCGUGCGGGAUGCAUGGUUUCUUUGAGAAUAUAGGCUCAGAUACCUCCACGAACCACCGGUCGCCGCGGUCCAUAGUUACGCGAAGAUGGAACGCGCCGAGCUCGCCGCCUGCCUUCGCGUGCGUCUGAUGAUAGCCGUCGAAGAAGGGCUUCUCGCCGUCGAUGACGACGAAGCAGGCGCAGAUGGCAGACGGGAUGGCCUCGAUGAUGUUAUCUCGAGGAAGCCGGUGGCGACUUGCAGAGACUGGCCCAAGGAUUGUACGCUUAGCGUAACCCCUUGGGGAUUCUCUUUCUCUCAUGACGAGCUCGACGGCGACGCAUGCCAGCACCGUCUCGUAGCUGGCUUGCCCGGCGAGAGCCGCCGCGACUUCUGACGCCUUUGGAGCUAAGGCCUGGUCCAGCCCUUCCACCGGGGCGAACUCCAGGUGCCUCCAGUCGGUGCCAACCACGGCGAACUGCAGAAUGAUCCCAAGCAAAGGCGGAUCGUGGUUUGCCAUGAAUUGCUGACGGAACUCCUUCCUUGAUGCAAUACUCAGCCACUCCCUCGACAACGUGCUAGACCGCAGAAGGCUCUUCAAGCCAUCAACACGGAGAAGCACCUGCUCUAGAAGCUCACCUAAGCGAAGAACUGUAGUCAUGGAUUCCUCGCCAUCACUUGUGGGGGGUGGGUUGAUGGCGGCCAUGGAUGCUUGGGAAGGGCGCAUACGCGUGUGUGAUGAAAGAGAAGGGUGUGCUGCCUGCUGAUGCCUGGAAUGGUGGUCUUUGACUAUCCGCAGCUGAGUGUAUAGAAACGACAUGGGUUGAAAAUCGAAAAUCUGGUCUGUCGCCAGCAGGGAGGCACCUGCGCGCGGGAGGCCCGAGGGGCAUGGGCGGGAGCAGAGGGUUGGGCGGCUUUUGACUUCGCAUCACAUGCAUGCGGGCGCAUGCACAGGGGGAGGGGGGGGGGCACGGACAUGCCCGGAGCCAAAACAAAGACAAGCUACAAACCACGCCCCGACGGCGGCCGUCUCUAUGUUGGCGCGUCUGUCUUCCGGUUAAAAAGGCGGGCUCAAACCAAGCUACAAGUACAGGGAUACGCUGAUUGAGAGCACGAGCUAGGAGCUAGAUCGACGGCACAGUUAGGAUAGAGAUGGCCGUGUCACGGCGGCCGGGGUGGAUCGCCGCCGGCCUCCUGGCGCGCCUGCUCAUGGUGGUCGUCCUGCUCAUGUCCGUGCGCUUCGUUCUCGCCAACUACAUCCAUUGGGACUAUACGCAGGGCACCUACAAGCUGCAGAGCUACACGUAUGAAUCUGUUUCCGACUGUCCAAUACCUCAUGCGUCUUUUUGGGUGUCAGCUGGCGAAUUUGCUCCUGCAUGGACUGUAAAAAAAUAGUACAUGGACUAAAAAGGUUCGAACCUUCCCCAAACAGUUCUCCAUUUGCCGUACAGGAACCUUUGCUUUUGGGCGCCGGUGGUCCUGUCUGCUAGACUGCCACAACCACAGCCUAGUGCCUGCCGGUCCCCUCCCCCUUGCAUGCAGCGUGGUCCACCCCCUUGCUAUAAGAGGAAAAGAACAUCAAAAGAAUAAAAAGAGAAAAAAGCAAAUGGGGUAAGAGGAGGGACCAGAUCCCAACACCAACGAGCGCNNNNNNNNNNNNNNNNNNNNNNNNNNNNNNNNNNNNNNNNNNNNNNNNNNNNNNNNNNNNNNNNNNNNNNNNNNNNNNNNNNNNNNNNNNNNNNNNNNNNNNNNNNNNNNNNNNNNNNNNNNNNNNNNNNNNNNNNNNNNNNNNNNNNNNNNNNNNNNNNNNNNNNNNNNNNNNNNNNNNNNNNNNNNNNNNNNNNNNNNNNNNNNNNNNNNNNNNNNNNNNNNNNNNNNNNNNNNNNNNNNNNNNNNNNNNNNNNNNNNNNNNNNNNNNNNNNNNNNNNNNNNNNNNNNNNNNNNNNNNNNNNNNNNNNNNNNNNNNNNNNNNNNNNNNNNNNNNNNNNNNNNNNNNNNNNNNNNNNNNNNNNNNNNNNNNNNNNNNNNNNNNNNNNNNNNNNNNNNNNNNNNNNNNNNNNNNNNNNNNNNNNNNNNNNNNNNNNNNNNNNNNNNNNNNNNNNNNNNNNNNNNNNNNNNNNNNNNNNNNNNNNNNNNNNNNNNNNNNNNNNNNNNNNNNNNNNNNNGGAGAGUUUCGGGGUCACCAGUAUUGUACCGGGACCACCGGAAGGGUCCCGGGGGUCCACCGGGUGGGGCCACCUGUCCUGGAGGGCCCCAUGGGCUGAAGUGACGUGGGAACCAGCCCCUAGUUGGCUGGUGCGCCACCCUUGGGCCUCCCUUGCGCCUAGGGUUGGAAACCCUAAAGGGGUGGGGGCGCCUCCACCUGGCUUGGGGGCCAAGCCACCCCCUAGGCCGUCGGCCAUCCCAUUAGAUGGGAUCUCUAGGGGACGGCGCCCCCCAGGGCCCUUAUAUAUAGUGGAAGGGAGGGAGGGCAGCAGGACCCAAGCCCUAGCGCCUCCCUCCCUCCCGUGACACCUCUUCCUCCCCGCUUGCGCUUGGCGAAGCCCUGCCGGGAUCCCGCUACUUCCACCACCACACCGUCGUGCUUCUGGAUCUCCUUCAAUUUCUCCACCCCCCUUGCUGGAUCAAGAUGGAGGAGACAUCUACGCUCCGUAUGUGUGUUGAACGCGGAGGUGCCGUCCGUUCGGCGUUAGGAUCAUCGGUUAUUUGGAUCACGACGAUUACGACUCCAUCAACCCCGUUCUCUUGAACGCUUCCUAUUAGCGAUCUACAAGGGUAUGUAGAUGCACUCCUCUCCCUCUCAUUGCUAUAUGACUCCAUAGAUUGAUCUUGGUGAUGCGUAGAAAAUUUUAAAUUCUGCUACGAUCCCCAACAGUGGCAUCAUGAGCUAGGUCUAUGCGUAGAUUCUAUGCACGAGUAGAACACAAAGUAGUUGUGGGCGAUGAUUUGUUCAAUUUUCUUGCCGUUACUAGUCUUAUCUUGAUUCGGCGGCAUUGUGGGAUGAAGCGGCCCAGACCGACCUUACACGUACACUUACGUGAGACAGGUUCAACCGACUGACAUGCACUUGAUGCAUAAGGUGGCUGGCGGGUGUCUGUCUCUCCCACUUUAGUCGGAUCGGAUUUGAUGAAAAGGGUCCUUAUGAAGGGUAAAUAGCAAUUGGCAUAUCACCAUUAUGGUUUUGCGUAGGUAAGAAACGUUCUUGCUAGAAACCCAUAACAGCCACGUAAAACAUGCAACAACAAUUAGAGGACGUCUAACUUGUUUUUGCAGGGUAUGCUAUGUGAUGUGAUAUGGCCAAAAGGACAUGAUGAAUGAUAUAUGUGAUGUAUGAGAUUGAUCAUGUUCUUGUAAUAGGAAUCACGACUUGCAUGUCGAUGAGUAUGACAACCGGUAGGAGCCAUAGGAGUUGUCUUAAUUUAUUUAUGACCUUCGUGUCAAUGAAAACGCCAUGUAAUUACUUUACUUUAUUGCUAAACGUUAUCCAUAGUAGUAGAAGUAAUAGUUGGCGAGGCAACUUCAUGAAGACACGAUGAUGGAGAUCAUGAUGAUGGAGAUCAUGGUGUCAUGCCGGUGACGAUGGUGUUCAUGCUGCGCCUCGAAGAUGGAGAUCAAAGGCGCAAGAUGAUAUUGGCCAUAUCAUGUCACUUUAUGAUUUGCAUGUGAUGUUUGUCAUGUUUACAUCUUAUUUGCUUAGAAUGACGGUAGCAUAAAUAAGAUGAUCCCUCACAAUAAUUUCAAGAAAGUGUCCCCCCCCCCUAAAUGUGCACCGUUGCUAAGGUCCAUUGUUCCGAAGCACCACGUGAUGAUCGGGUGUGAUAGGUUCUAACGUUCGCAUACAACGGGUGUAAGCCAGAUUUACACAUGCAAUACACUUAGGUUAACUUGACGAGCCUAGCAUGUACAGACAUGGCCUCGGAACAUGGAAGACCGAAAGGUCAAACAUGAGUCGUAUAGUGGAUACGAUCAACAUGAAGAUGUUCACCGAUGAUCUCUAGUCCGUCUCACGUGAUGAUCGGACACGGCCUAGUUGACUCGGAUCAUGUAUCACUUAGAUGACUAGAGGGAUGUCUAUCUAAGUGGGAGUUCAUUGAAUAAUUUGAUUAUAUGAACUUAAUUAUCAUGAACAUAGUCAAAAGGUCUUUACAAAUUAUGUCGCAGCUCACGCUUUGGUUCUACUGUUUUAGAUAUGUUCCUAGAGAAAAUUUAGUUGAGAGUUAACAGUAGCAAUUAUGCGGACUGGGUCCAUGAACUGAGGAUCGUCCUCAUUGCUGCACAGAAGGGUUAUGUCCUUAAUGCACCGCUCAGUGUGUUGAACCUCGAGAAUCGUCUGUAGAUGUUGGGAAACAUCUGACAUACACGUUUUGAUGACUACGCGAUAGUUCAGUACGUAAUACUAACGGUUUAGAAUUGUGGCACCAAAGACGUUUUUGAAACGUCGCAGAACAUAUGAGAUGUUCCAAAGACUUAAAUUGGAAUUUCAGACUAGUGCCCACGUCAAGAGGUAUGAGACCUCUGACAAGUUUCUUAAGCCUGCAAACUAAGGGAGAAAAACUCAAUCGUUGAGCAUGUGCUCAGAUUGUCUGAGUACUGCAAUCGCUUGAAUCGAGUGGGAGUUAAUCUUCCAGAUGAGAUAGUGAUGGUUCUCCAUAGUCACUGCCACCAAGCUAUUGGAGCUUCGUGAUUAACUAUAACAUAUUAGGGAUAGACAUGAUGAUCCUUAAGCAACUCGCGAUGUUUGACACCGCGAAAGUAGAAAUCAAGUAGGAGCAUCAAUUGUUGAUGGUUAAACCACUAGUUUCAAGAAGGGCAAGGGAAAGAAGGGAUACUUCAUGAACCCAAGGUUGAACCAAACCCGAGACUAAGUGCUUCUAUAAUGAGGGGAACGGUCACUGAAGCGGAACUACCCUAGGUACUUGGUAGAUGAGAAGGCUGGCAAGGUCGACAGAAGUAUUUUGGAUAUACGUCAUAUUAUUGUGUACUUUACUAGUACUCCUAGUAGCACCAGGGUAAUAAAUACCGGUUCGGUUGCUAAGCGUUAGUAACUCGAAAUAAAAGGCUGCGGAGACUAGCUAAAGGUGAGAUGACGAUAUGUGUUGGAAGUGUUUCCAAGGUUGAUGUGAUCAAACAUCGCACGCUCCCUCUACCAUCGGGAUUGGUGUUAAACCGAAAUAAUUGUUAUUUGGUGUUUGCGUUGAGCAUAUACAUGAUUGGAUUAUGUUUAUCGCCACACAGUUAUUCAUUUAAGGAGAAUAAUGAUUACUCUGUUUAUUUGAAUAAUACCUUCAAUGGUCUUGCACCUAAAAUGAAUGGUUUAUUGAAUCUCGAUCGUAGUGAUACACAUGUUCAUGCCAAAAGAUAUAAGAUAGCAAUGAUAGUACCACGUACUUGUGGCACUCCAUUUGAGUCAUGUUGGUAUAAAACGCAUGAAGAAGCUCCAUGUUGAUGGAUCUUUGGACUCACUUGUUUUUGAAAAGAUUGAGACAUGCGAACCAUGUCUAUUCGUAGAUAUGCAUGAAGAAACUCCAUGCAGAUGGAUCAUUUGGACUCACUUGAUUUUGAAUCACUUGAGACAUGCAAAUCAUACCACAUGGGCAAGAUGACUGAAAGGCCUCGUUUUCAGUAAAAUGGAACAAGAAAGCAACUUGUUGGAAGUAAUACAUUUUGAUGUGUGCAGUCCAAUGAGUGCUGAGGCACGCAGUGGAUAUCGUUAUGUUCUUACUUCACAGAUGAUUUGAGUUGAUGCUGAGUAUAAUUACUUGAUGAAACACAAAUCUGAAUUAUUAAAAGGUUUAAGUAAUUUCAGAGUGAAGUUGAAGAUCAUCAUGACAAGAUGAUAAAAUGUCUAUGAUAUGAUCAUAGAGAUGAAUAUCUGAGUUACGAGUUUAGCACACAAUUAAGACAAUGUGGAAAUUGUUUCACAACUAAUACCGCCUGGAUCACCAUAGUGUGAUGGUGUGUCCGAACAUCAUAACUGCACCCUAUUGGAUAUGGUGCAUACCAUGAUGUCUCUUAUCGAAUUACCACUAUCGUUUAUGGGUUAGGCAUUAGAGACAACUGCAUUCACUUUAAAUAGGGCACCACACAAUUCCGUUGAGACGACACCGUAUGAACUAUGGUUUAGAGAAACCUAAGUUGUCGUUUCUUAAAAGUUUGGGGCUGUGAUGCUUAUGUGAAAAAGGUUCAGGCUGAUAAGCUCGAACCCAAAGCGGAUAAAUGCAUCUUCAUAGAAUACCCAAAAAAUAGUUGAGUAUACCUCCUACUUCAGAUCCGGAAGCAAAAGUGAUUGUUUCUAGAAACGGGUCCUUUCUCGAGGAAAAGUUUCUCUCCAAAGAAUUGAGUGGGAGGAUGGUGGAGACUUGAUGAGGUAAUUGAACCGUCACUUCAACUAGUGUGUAGCAGGACACAGGAAGUUGUUCCUGUGGCACCUACACCAAUUGAAGUGGAAGCUUAUGAUAAUGAUCAUGAAACUUCGGAUCAAGUCACUACCAAACCUCAUAGGUCGACAAGGAUGUGUACUACUUCAGAGUGGUACGUAAUCCUGUCUUGGAAGUCAUGUUGCUAGACAACAAUGAACCUACGAGCUAUGGAGAAGCGAUGGUGGGCCCGGAUUCCGACGAAUGGCUCGAGGCCAUAAAAUCCGAGAGAGGAUCCAUGUAGAAAACAAAGUAUAGACUUUGAAAGAACUACUUGAUGGUCGCAAGGCUAUUGGGUGCAGAUGGAUUUUAAAAGGAAGAUGGACAAUGAUGGUAAGUGUCACCAUUAAGAAAGCUUGACUUGUCGUUAAGAUGUUUCCCGACAAGUUCAAGGAGUUGACUACGAUGAGACUUUCUCACUCGUAGCGAUGCUAAGAGUCUGUUGGAAUUAUGUUAGCAGUUACUGCAUUAUUUAUGAAAUCUUGCAGAUAGGAUGUCAAAACAUUGUUUCCUCAACAAUUUUCUUGAGGAAAGGUUGUAUCUGAUACGACCAGAAGGUUUUGUCAAUCCUAAAAGAUGCUGACAAGUAUGCAAAGCUCCAGCAAUCCUUCUAAGGACUGGAGUAAGCAUCUCGGAGUUGGAAUGUACACUUUGAUGAGAUGAUCAAAGAUUUUGGGUUUAUAUAAAGUUUAUGAGAAACUUGUAUUUCCAAUGAAGUGAGUGGGAGCACUAUAGAAUUUUUGAUGAGUAUAUGUUGUUAACAUAUUGUUGGUCAGAAAUGAUGUAGAAUUUCUGGAAAGCAUGCAGGGUUAUUUGAAAAGUGUUUUUCAAUGGAAAAUCUAGAUUAAGCUACUUAAACAUUGAGCAUCAAGAUCUAUAAGGAUAGAUCAAAAACGCUUAAUAGUACUUUCAAAUGAAUACAUACCAUGACAAGAUUUUGAAGGAGUUCAAAACAGAUCAGCAAAGAAGGAGUUCUUAGCUGUGUUACAAGGUGUGAAUAUUGAGUAAGACUCAAGAUAUGACCACGGUAGAAGAGAGAGAAAGGACGAAGGUCGUCCCCUAUGCUUUAGACGUAGGCUCUAUAGUAUGCUAUGAUGUGUACCGCACCUGAAGUGUGUCUUGCCAUGAGUCAGUCAAGGGGUACAAGAGUGAUCCAGGAAUGGAUCACACGACAGCGGUCGAACUUAUCCUUAGUAACUAGUGGACUAAGGAAUUUUCUCGAUUAUGGAGGUGGUAAAAGAGUUCGUCGUAAAGGGUUACAUCGAUGCAAACUUUGACACUAAUCGGGAUGACUCUGAGUAGUAAACCGGAUUCGUAUAGUAGAACAGUUAUUUGGAAUAGCUCCAAGUAGCGCGCGGUAGCUGCAUCUACAAGAUGACAUAGAUAUUUGUAAAGCACACAUGGAUCUGAAAGGUUCAGACUCAUUGACUCAUCUACUACCUCGACGUCUUGCUAGAUGAAGAAGGCGAGGGACGUCACCGAGCUGAAAGCGUGUAGAACUCAGAGGUGUCGUGUGUUCGGUACUUGAUCGGUCGGAGCUAGAAGAAGUUCAACUACAUCAACCGCGUUGACAAAUGCUUCCGCUUACAGUCUACAAGGGUACGUAGACACGCUCUCCCCCUUGUUACUAUGCAUCUUCUAGAUAGAUCUUGUGUGAGCGUAGGAAGUUUUUUGAAAUUGCAUGCCACGUUUCCCAAUAGUGGCAUCACAGCCAGGUCUAUGCAUAGAUGAUAUGCACCAGUAGAACACAAAGAGUUUUGGGCGGUGAUCAUCAUACUGCUUACCACCAAUGUCUUAUUUUUAUUGAGCGGUAUUGUUGGAUGAAGCGUCCCGGACCAACCUUACAUGACCACGUUCAUGAGACCGGUUCCACCGACAAAUACAUGCAACUAGUUUUGCAUAAAGGUGGCUGGUGGGUGUCUGUUUCUCCGACUUUAGUUGAAUCAAAUUUGACUGCGAUCAAUCCUUGUUGAAGGUAAAAAUAGCAAACUUGAUAAAUCACCGUUGUGGUUUUGAUGCGUAGGUAAGAACGUUUCUUGCUAGAAGCCCGUAGCAGCCACGUAAAACUUGCAACAACAAAGUAGAGGACGUCUAACUUGUUUUUGCAAGGCAUGUUGUGAUGUGAUAUGGUCAAGAAUGAUGUGAUAUACGUUAUUGUAUGAGAUGAUCAUGUUUUUAAAAGUUAUCGGCAACCGGCAGGAGCCUUAUGGUUGUCCCUUUAUUGUAUGAAAUGCAAACGCCAUGUAAUUGCUUUACUUUAUCACUAUGCGUUAGCGAUAGUUGUAGAAGCAAUAGUUGGCGAGACGACCACGAAGCUACUGUGGAGAUCAUCGUGUCAAGCCGAUGACAAUGGAGAUCAUGAAGGUUCUUUGGAGAUGGAGAUCAAAAGCACAAGAUGAUGAUGGCCAAAUCAUGUCACAUAUUUUUAUUGCAUGUGAUGUUUAUCUUUUAUGCAUCUUAGUUUGCUUAGUAUGGCAGUAGCAUUAUAAGAUGAUCCCUUAACUAAAAUUUCAAGGUAUAAGUGUUCUCCCUGAGUAUGCACUAUUGCGACAGUUCGUCGUGUUGAGACACCACGUGAUGAUCGGGUGUGACAGACUCUACGUUCACAUACAAUGGGUGCAAGACAGUUUCAGAAUACUCGGGUUAAACUUGACGAGCCUAGCAUGUACUGACAUGGCCUAGGACACUGGAGACUGAAAGGUCGAACGUGAAUCAUAUAGUAGAUAUGAUCAACAUAGAGAUGUUCACCAUUGAUGACUACUCCAUCUCACGUGAUGAUCAGACAUGGUUUAGUUGAUUUGUAUCACGUUGUUGGAAAUAUGCCCUAGAGGCAAUAAUAAAAUGGUUAUUAUUGUAUUUCCUUGUUCAUGAUAAUUGUCUAUUUUUCAUGCUAUAAUUGUAUUAACCGGAAACCGUAAUACAUGUGUGAAUACAUAGACCACAACAUGUCCCUAGUAGGCCUCUGGUUGACUAGCUCGUCGAUCAAUAGAUGGUCAUGGUUUCCUGACCAUGGAUAUUGGAUGUCAUUGAUAACGGGAUCACAUCAUUAGGAGAAUGAUGUGAUGGACAAGACCCAAUCCUAAGCCUAGCACAAGAUCAUAUAGUUCGUCUUCUAAAGCUUUUCUAAUGUCAAGUAUCAUUUCCUUAGACCAUGAGAUUGUGCAACUCCCGCAUACCGUAGGAAUACUUUGGGUGUACCAAACAUCACAACGUAACUGGGUGGCUAUAAAGGUGCACUACGGGUAUCUCCGAAAGUGUCUGUUGGGUUGGCACGAAUCGAGACUGGGAUUUGUCACUCCGUGUAAACGGAGAGGUAUCUCUGGGCCCACUCGGUAGGACAUCAUCAUAAUGUGCACAAUGUGACCAAGGAGUUGAUCACGGGAUGAUGUGUUACGGAACGAGUAAAGAGACUUGCCAGUAACGAGAUUGAACAAGGUAUCGGGAUACCGACGAUCGAAUCUCGGGCAAGUACUAUACCGGUAGACAAAGGGAAUUGUAUACAUGACUGAUUGAAUUCUCUACAUCGUGGUUCAUCUGAUGAGAUCAUCGUGGAGCAUGUGGGAGCCAACAUGGGUAUCCAGAUCCCACUGUUGGUUAUUGACCAGAGAGAUGCCUCGGUCAUGUCUACGUGUCUCCCGAACCCGUAGGGUCUACACACUUAAGGUUCGGUGACGCUAGAGUUGUAGAGAUAUUAGUAUGCGGUUAACCGAAAGUUGUUCGGAGUCCCGGAUGAGAUCCCGAACGUCACGAGGAGUUUCGGAAUGGUCCGGAGGUAUAUAUAUAUAUAUAUAUAUAUAUAUAUAUAUAUAUAUAUAUAUAUAUAUAUAUAUAUAUAUAGGAAGUCCAGUUUCGGCCACCGGCUAGAGUUUCGGGGUCACCGGUAUUGUACCGGGACCACCGGAAGGGUCCCGGGGGUCCACCGGGUGGGGCCACCUGUCCCGGAGGGCCCCAUGGGCUGAAGUGACGUGGGAACCAGCCCCUAGUGGGCUGGUGCGCCACCCUUGGGCCUCCCUUGCGCCUAGGGUUGGAAACCCUAAAGGGGUGGGGGCGCCUCCACCUGGCUUGGGGGCCAAGCCACCCCCUAGGCCGCCGCCCAUCCCAUUAGAUGGGAUCUCUAGGGGCCGGCGCCCCCCCAGGGCCCCUAUAUAUAGUGGAGGGGAGGGAGGGCAGCAGGACCCAAGCCCUGGCGCCUCCCUCCCUCCCGUGACACCUCUUCCUCCCCGCUUGCGCUUGGCGAAGCCGUGCCGGGAUCCCGCUACUUCCACCACCACACCGUCGUGCUGCUGGAUCUCCUUCAACUUCUCCUCCCCCCUUGCUGGAUCAAGAAGAUGGAGACGUCUCCGCUCCGUACGUGUGUUGCACGCGGAGGUGCCGCCCAUUCAACGCUAGGAUCAUCGAUGAUUUGGAUCACAACAAGUAUGACUCCAUCAACCCCGUUGUCUUGAACUCUUCCGCUUAGCGAUCCACAAGGGUAUGUAGAUGCACUCCUCUCCCUCUCGUUGCUAGACAACUCCAUAGAUUGAUCUUGGUGAUGCGUAGAAAAUUUUAAAUUUCUGCUACGAUCCCCAACACACGUAUCAUUUAGAUGACUUGAGGGAUGUCUAUCUAAGUGGGAGUUCUUAAGUAAUUUGAUUAAUUGAACUUUAAUUUACCAUGAGCUUAGUCCUGAUAGUAUUUGCAAAUUAUGUUGUAGAUUAAUAGCGCGCGUUGUAGCUCCCCUAUGUUUUUAAUGUGUUCCUAGAGAAAACUAAGUUGAAAGAUGAUAGUAGCAAUGAUGCGGACUGGGUCCGUGAUCUGAGGAUUAUCCUCAUUGCUACACAGAAGAAUUAUGUCCUUGAUGCACGACUAGGUGACAGAACUAUUGCAGGAGCAGAUGCAGACAUUAUGAACGUUUGGCUAGCUCGAUAUCAUAACUACUUAAUAGUUUAGUGCGCCAUGCUUUACGGCUUAGAACCGGGACUUCAAAAACGUUUUGAACGCCACGGAGCAUAUGAGAUGUUCCGAGAGCUGAAAAUUGGUAUUUCAGACUCAUGCCCGCUUCAGGAGGUAUGAGACCUCUGACAAGUACUUUGCCUACAAGAUGGAGGAGAAUAGCUCAGCCAGUGAGCCAGUGGCGUAUCUAGGGGGUGGACAGGGUGGUCCAUGGACCACCCUGGAAUUUCCCCAUAAUAUAUAUAGCAUAGAGAAAAAUAUAUUUUUAUAAUAAAUAAAUAUAUUUAUGUGAAUAUUUUGCAUUGGUGGACCACCCUGGCAUGUUGGGCUAGCUACGCCACUGCAGUGAGCAUGUGCUCAGAAUGUCUGGGUGCUACAAUCGCUUGAAUCAAGUGGGAGUUAAUCUUCCAGAUAAGAUAGUGAUUGAUAGGGUUCUCUUGUCACUAUCACCAAGCUACUAGAACUUAGUGAUGAACUAUAAUAUGCAAGGGAUGACGAAAAUAAUUCCUGCGCUCUUCGCGAUGCUAAAAUCGGCAAAUGUAGAAAUCAAGAAAGAGUAUCAAGUGUUGAUGGUUAAACAAGACCACUAGUUUCAAGAAAAAGUACAAGGGAAAGAAACAGAACUUCAAGAAGAAUGGCAAGCAAGUUGCCACUCCCGUGAAGAAGCCCAAAGCUAUAUCCAAGACUGAAACUGAGUGCUUCUAAUGCAAAGGGAAUGGUAACUGGAAGCAGAACUGCCCCAAACAUUUGGCGGACAAGAAGGAUGGCAAAGUGAACAAAGGUAUAUUUGAUAUCUAGAUUCUUGAUGUGUACCUUACUAGUGUUCGUAGUAGCCCCUGGGUAUUUGAUACUAGUUCAGUGGCUAAGAUUAGUAACUCGAAACAGGAGUUGCAGAAUGAACAGUGACAAAUUAAGGGUGAGUUGGCGAUGUGUGUUGGAAGUGAUUCCAAGGUUGAUAAGAUCACCAUCGCACACUCCCUCUACCUUCGGGAUUAGUGUUGAACCUAAAUAAAUGUUAUUUGGUGUUUGCAUUGAGCAUGAAUAUGAUUGGGUCAUCUUUAUUGCAAUUCGGUUAUUCAUUUAAGUGAGAGAAUAAUUGUUGUUCUGUUUACAUGAAUAAAACCUUUUAUGGUAAUACACCCAAUGUGAAUGGUCUGUUGAAUCUCAAUCAUAGUAAUGCACAUAUUCAUAAUAUUGAUGCCAAAAGAUGCAAAGUUGACAAUGAUAGUGCAACAUACUUGUGGCACUGCCGUUUAGGUCAUAUUGGUGUAAAGCGCAUGAAGAAACUCCAUGCAGAUGGACUUUUGGAAUCACUUGAUUAUGAAUCAUUUGAUACUUGUGAUUCAUGCCUAAUGGGUAAGAUGACCAAAACUCUGUUCUCCGGAACAAUGGAGCGAGCCAAUGACUUAUUGGAAAUAAUACAUACCGAUGUAUGUGGUCCGAUAAGUGAUGAGGCUCGUGGCGGGUAUCGUUAUUUUCUUACCUUCACAGAUGAUUUGAGAAGAUGUGGGCAUAUCAACUUAAUGAAACACAAGUCUGAAAUGUUUGAAAAGUUCAAAGAGUUUUAGAGUGAAGUGGAGAAUCAUCGUAAUAAGAAAAUAUAGGUUCUACAAUCUGAUCGUGGAGGCGAAUAUUUGAGUUACGAGUUUGACCUUCAUUUAAAAUAAUGUGGAAUAGUUUCACAACUCACGCCACCUGGAACACCACAGCGUAAUGGUGUGUCCGAACAUCGUAACCGUACUUUAUUAGAUAUGGUGCGAUCUAUGAUGUCUCUUAUCGAUUUACCACUAUCUUUUUGGGAUAAUGCAUUAGAGACAGCUGCAUUCACGUUAAAUAGGGCACCAUCUAAAUCCGUUGAGACGACACCGUAUGAACUGUGGUUGGCAAGAAACCUAAUCUGUCGCUUCUUAAAAGUUUGGGGAUGUGACGCUUAUGUCAAAAAGGCUUUAGCCUGAUAAGCUCGAACCCGAAGCUAAGAAGUGCGUCUUCAUAGGGUACCCUGAGGAAACCAUCGGGUACACCUUCUACCACAGAUCCAAAGGCAAGAUCUUUGUUGCUAAGAAGGGAUCCUUUCUAGAGAAGGAGUUUCUCUCAAAAGAAGUGAGUGGGAGAAAAGUAGAACUUGAAGAGGUAAUUGUACCUUCUCUUAAUUUGGAAAGUAGCACAUCAGGGAAAUCAGUUCCCGUGAUGCCUACACCAACUAGAGAGGAAGCUAAUGAUGAUGAUCAUGAAACUUCAGAUCAAGUUACUGCUGGACCUCGUAGGUUGAACUGAGCACAUUCCGCACCAGAGUGGUACGGUAAUCCUGUCCUGGAAGUCAUGUUACUAGACCAUGACAAACCUAUGAACUAUGAAGAAGCAAUGAUGAGCCCAGAUUCCGACAGAUGGCUUGAGGCCAUGAAAUUUCAGAUAGGAUCCAUGUAUGAGAACAAAGUAUGGACUUUGGUUGACUUGCCCGAUGAUCGGCGAGCCAUAGAGAAUAAAUGGAUCUUCAAGAAGAAGACUGACGCUGAUGGUAAUGUUACUGUCUACAAAACUCUACUUGUCACGAAAGGUUUUCGACAUGUUCAAGGAGUUGACUACGAUGAGACUUUCUCACCCGUAGCGAUGCUUAAGUCUGUUCGAAUCAUGUUAGCAAUUGCCGCAUUUUAUGAUUAUCAAAUCUUGCAAAUGGACGUGAAAAUUGCAUUCCUUAAUGGAUUUCUUAAAGAAGACUUGUACAUGAUGCAACCAAAAGGUUUUGUCGAUCCUAAAGGUGCUAACAAAGUGUGCAAGCUCCGGCGAUCCAUCUAUGGACUGGUGCAAGCAUCUCAGAGUUGGAAUAUACGCUUUGAUGAGGUGAUCAAAGCAUAUGGUUUUAUACAGACUUUUGGAGAAGCCUGUAUUUACAAGAAAGUGAGUGGGAGUUCUAUAGCAUUUCUAAUAUUAUAUGUGGAUGACAUAUUGUUGAUUGGAAAUGAUAUAUAAUUUCUGGAUAGCAUAAAAGGAUACUUGAAUAAAAGUUUUCAAUGAAAGACCUUGGUGAAGCUGCUUACAUAUUGGGCAUCAAGGUCUAUAGAGAUAGAUCAAGAAGCUUGAUAAGACUUUCGAUGAGUACAUACCUUGACAAGAUUUUGAAGGAGUUCAAAAUGGAUCAGUCAAACAAGGAGUUCUUGCUUGUAUUGUAAGGUGUCAAGUUGAGUAAAGACUCAAAACCCGACCACGACAAAAGAUAAAGAGAGAAUGAAAGUCAUUCCCUAUGCCUCAGCCAUAGGUUCUAUAAAGUAUCCCAUGUUGUGUACCAGACAUAUUGUGUACCUUGCCAUGAGUUUGGCAAGGGGGGUACAAUAGUGAUCCAGGAGUAGAUCACUAGACAGCGGUCAAAAUUAUCCAUAGAAGACUAAGGAAAUAUUUCUCGGUUAUGGAGGUGAUAAAGAGUUUGUUGUAAAGAGCUACAUGGAUGCAAGCUUUUACACCGAUCCACAUGACUCUGAGACUCAAUCUAGAUAUGUAUUGAAAGUGGGAGCAAUUAGCUAGAGUAGCUCUAUGCAGAGCAUUGUAGACAUAGAAAUUCGCGAAAUACAUACGGAUCUGAAUGUGGCAGACCCGUUGACUAAACUUCUCUCACAAGCAAAACAUGAUCACACCUUAGUACUCUUUGGGUGUUAAUUAAAUGGUGAUGUGAGCUAGAUUGUUGACUCUAGUAAACCCUUUGGGUGUUGGUCACAAGGUGAUGUGAACUAUUGGUGUUAAAUCACAUGGCGAUGUGAACUAGAUUAUUGACUCUAGUGCAAGUGGGAGAUUGAAGGAAUAUGCCCUAGAGGCAAUAAUAAAGUUGUUAUUUUAUACUUCCUUAUAUCAUGAUAAAUGUUUAUUAUUCAUGCUAGAAUUGUAUUAACCAGAAACUUGAUACAUGUGUGGAUACAUAGACAAAACACUGUGUCCCUAGUAAGCCUCUACUAGACUAGCUCGUUAAUCAAAGAUAGUCAAGUUUCCUAACCAUAGACAUGUGUUGUCAUUUGAUGAACGGGAUUACAUCAUUAUGAGAAUGAUGUGAUGGACAAGACCCAUCCGUUAGCUUAGCAUAUUGAUCGUUUAGUUUUAUUGCUAUUGAUUUCUUCAUGUCAAAUACAUAUUCCUUCGACUAUGAGAUUAUGCAACUCCCGGAUACCGGAGGAAUACCUUGUGUUCUAUCAAACAUCACAAAGUAACUGGGUGAUUAUAAAUAUGCUCUACAAGUAUCUGUGAAGGUGUCUAUUGGGUUGGCAUAGAUCGAGAUUAGGAUUUGUCACUUCGAGUAUCAGAGAGGUAUGUCCGGUCCUCUCGGUAGUGCACAUCAUAAGAAGCCUUCCAAGCAAAGUGACUAAUGAGUUAGUUACAAGAUGAUGCAUUAUGGAAUGAGUAAAGAGACUUGCUGCUAAUGAGAUUGAACUAAGUAUGAAGACACCGAUGAUCGAAUCUCAGGCAAGUAACAUACCAAUUGACAAAAUGAAUUACGUAUGUUGUCAUAACGGUUCGAUCGAUAAAGAUCUCCGUAGAAUAUGUAGGAGCAAAUAUGAGCAUCCAGGUUCCACUAUUGAUUAUUGACCGAAGAGGUGUCUCGGUCAUGUCUACAUAGUUCUCGAACCCGUAGGGUCCGCACGCUUAACGUUCGAUGAUGAUUUAGUAUUAUAUGAGUUAUGUGAUUUGGUGACUGAAUGUUGUUCGGAGUCCCGGACGACAUCAUGGAUAUGACGAGGAGUCUCGAAAUGGUCGACAUGUAAUGAUUGAUAUAUAGGAUGAUGGUAUUUGGACACCGAAAGUGUUCUAGAAGGUACCAGGUACUUAUUGGGUCACCGAAAGGAGUUUCGGGCACCCCCGGCAAAGAUAUGGGCCUUAUGGGCCAAGUGAGAGAACACACCAGCCCUGGUGCGCCCCUAUAGAGGCCAGCCCUAUGAGGGGGAGAAGGAAAGAGGGGAGGGCAAGGAAAGUGUGGAUUAGGAUUCCUACUUCCUUCCCUCUCCCCCCUCUUUUCUUCCACAUGGUUAUAUAUGGCAGGGGGCGCACGGCUUGGGAGGGACUCCAAGUAGUAUUCCUCCUACUUGGGUGCCUCCUAUGGAUGCUCCUCCCUCCCUACCACCUAUAUAUAUGAGGAGGGGGCGCCUAGCACACAACAGACAAUUGCCUAGCCGUGUGCGGCGCCCCCUCCACAGUUUACACCCUCGAUCAUAUCUCCGUAGUGCUUAGACGAGGCCCUGCGUGGAUCACUUCACCAUCACUGUUACCAUGCCGUUCUGCUGACGGAACUCAUCUACUACCUCGACGUCUUGCUGGAUCAAGAAGGCAUCGGACGUCACCGAGCUGAACUCGUGCAGAACUCGGAGGUGCCGUGCAUUCGGUACUUGAUCGGUCAGAGCUAGAAGAAGUUUGACUACAUCAACCGCAUUGUCAAACGCUUCCGCUUACGGUCUACAAGGGUACAUAGACACACUCUCCCCCUCGUUGCUAUGAAUCUUCUAGAUAGAUCUUGCGUGAGCGUAGGAAUUUUCUUGAAAUUGCAUGUUACGUUUCCCAACACUCAGGCGGGUGCCCGGAAUGGACCGAGAUAAAGAAGAACCGGCUGGGUCACCGGUAGUGGCCCUCUUGGGACCCAAGCGGCGAUGGCCUCCCAUGUUCUACUUUUUGUCGAUGAUGGCGGCGGGCGCACACGUGAUGGCCACCACCUCGGCGACAUCCACGUAGCCGACUUCUUUCUCUACUAGCAUGGUGCGGUCACAUGCAUUGGAGACGGCGAUGGCCGUGCCGCCAUGCUCCCUGCCGUGCUGGCCUGGAAGAACUCGCCACUCCUUCGCGAGCUGGCUUGGAGCAGCAUGUUAUUGAACCACACGCCGGCUUGGGCAACAACUUGCUCCGUCGGGCUAUGUGAGGGAGGUGAAGCAGUGAGUUGCCUCGCUCAUAUCCGCCGGGCUCAGCGGCUACCUAGCCGGCUUUUAUGCCGGAGAACUGCUCUUCCUGCUCGUCGGGUGCCAUCGAAAGAGUGGAGAAAUGGUGGAAGGAGGAGGAGAUGGGGGAGCGGCGGAGUGGUGCGAUUCUUGCCCGUCGUCUGGCCUCGUUUAAGUAGAGGGCGGGCGGCAGGAGCUUGCCCGACAUUGUGUUUAAUGUCGGACCGCUCGUGAAUGGAUGUGUGGACGGAGUAAGUUUCUCAGCUUCCACGCGGGUUUAAUAGAGGUGUUUGAAUGCUGCGAGGAGGCGUGUUCAGCUGGGUGUGCAGCGAGCGGCGCCCUCGGCCAGCGUGCCGCUUUAAUGGAGGAGGUAGUGAGAGGUCACGUCGCCCUUUGCCGCCUUCAAUGUGGAGUGGCACGCUCUACAAUAGCAUGAAUGCAGGAAGCUGGCAGCGAGCGGGAAGAGCGCGUGGGAGGGUGGAGGGGUUUUUUGUUGGGCGAGGGCGGUCAGAAGUGGGUGUGACAGCGGUCCAGACUCCCGCAAACCUCCCCCAUGUUUGUCUCUAGUUUGCGGGAGAAAAUGUGUCCGAACCAUGCCACGGACCGAUACAUGACCAUGUUGGAUGGCUUCCGCAAUCCGGACUAAUGUGGGAGGUUUGCGGGUCGGCGUUGGAGAUGCCCUAAGAGACCAUAUCUAUGCUCUGAAAAAAAGCUGAGAGACGGAAAAUAUACUUUCCCCAUAAAUAAUUGAUUACCCUAGGAACGACAAACAUGUGCUCCCAAUCUAAACACUUAUAUAUUUCUUUACAGAGGGGGUACAAAGCAAAAGCAUAAUCAUUCUGUCCACAUAAUAAGGGAAAGGAGUUGGUUGUUAGAAGUAUAAUCAUGUUUGAGGUAGAGAUAAGAAUGCAAUAGAAUAGUUUACUAUGACUUGUCUUGUACUCCAAAUCUACCUCCCCAUGUACUUCUACUUCUAUAUAUACCCCAUAUGAGGGUCAAAUCAGCAGAACAUACAACAUAAACAUUAGCGAUCCUACAAUUUCUACAUGGUAUUAAAGUGGUUAGUAUCACAACACCGAUCCUAGGUUCCCCCACCACUUUCGCAGCGUGCCACCCCAGGGAGAUUAAUCUUCUUUCCCAGGGACGCAACACUCAAUCAAUCAAGGAUUCGAUUGAUUCCUUAGAUUAUAUCAAUUUCUUAGAUCAGAUCAAUUCCAAGUUCUAAAAUUCGACUAGAUUGAUUUCUUUUGGCCACCAGUAAAUCCCUCAACACUUAAAAUACAAUGAAAAUCAGUGCAAAGAUCAUCAUCCAAAACUCCAUCGACUCCUACGGGUGUCGAGCCAUCAAAGAUGCAGUUGAUGAUGAUGCAGCGGAGAAGACGGCGAAAGCACAAAACUUUAAAUUUAGUCACAACUGUCUGGUUCACUUCCGCUCGGGCUGAGGGCGAUGUUAGAAGUAUAAUUGUGUUUAAGGUAGUGAUAAGGAUGUAGAGAUAGAAUAUGUUAAACAUACUAUGACUUAUCUUGUACUCCAAGUCUACCCCACCAUAUACUUUUAUAUAUACUGCAUAUGAGGGUCAAAUCAAUAGAACAUACAACAUAAACAUUAGCCAUCCUAAAAUUUCUAUAAGGUAGGCUGAAUAACGUACGUGUUCACACUUCACACCCAUCAAUUAACCAGAGAAGUCACGAAGCACGAGAUAUGCAUUCAAUCCUCCGUGCAUUGCUAGAAAUCUUCUGUUAGGCCUUUCUAAAUGGAGUGGUUGAUUUCUUAGUAUCCGCUUAUGCUCCAUGGAUGCCCAUGUGAGAAAAAUCAGCGGCUCAACAAUGUAAGAGUUUCUUAUAUGUUUCCUUAAUUCUAAGUGAAAUCUAGAAACUAUUUUGUUACAGGAAAUCCACAAACUUUUUGUGCGUCUAAGAUUGCAUAUAUCAACCCUGCUUAAAAAAUCUACCAAAAAGGUCGCGCUGCUGCCGCUGCAAAGGGGCGGGUAGGGAUCCGGUCUUGCUCGGCCUCCGUUUACCGUGGCCCAUGGGCGGGAGGUUGCACAGGUCAGGGAAUUUGCGAACGGUGGCCGGGGUCCUCCCCGAGGGCAGUGGGGUGAUGACAGGUUCAAUGCAUACGGAGAUGGCCAACGUCGGGGCUCCUCGCCGACGGGCGGCAGACACGGCUAUGCUUGGCAAAGUGAUGGCUCGUCUGAUCGUCCAUUCUAUGGUCCUCCGAGAGACUAUGUGGAGGGUGUGUCGGGCCCGGAUUACAGGCAGCACGAAGGCUAUCGGGGCUUCCGCGGAGGUAGGGGGUAGCCGACGGCCUCCACAACAUCUCCAACGGCAGCCUCCACCACCGGUUUCUAUGGACAGUGAGAACCCCGUGGAGCCGGUGGCCUCUUAGGGGACUGUUGAUGUUGCACAGCCACCGGUUUUGACGGGUCAGGUCAUGGCGUCAGUGACAGCACUUGCAACCGCGAAGGUGCCGGAGGCCGAGCCAAUUGCAAUAGAUAGUGACAAAGUGACAGAUAAACCGGAUGGAGAUAGAGCAGCCAAGUGGGCUCGGAUGAAAGAGAAAAUGCUUUGCUAUCGCUGCGGUGAGCAGGGUCAUUUUAUUGCUAAAUGUACUAUAGAGCUUUGUGAUAAUUGCCUCCAACCAGUGCACGCUUCGGGAGAGUGUCCAUAGUUGCGGCAGCCGAUGCCGGGGGUCACCAUAUAUGGAGUAUGAUGCUCUGAACUGAUGUUUUUUGAGUCUCCCAGCAUGGUUGCUAUCCCGGAUACACUGCAGAUUUCGACCACGGGGGUGGUCAAAGUGACAAAUGGUUUCUUGUCAGAGGCGCAGAUCGUGCAAAGGUAGAAUGAACUUGUUGCAGGGAAUUCUCGUUGGGAGCUUAUUAGACUUGAGGAUAACCUGUAUAAGGUGGAUUUUCCAUCAACAGAGUUCCUGAAGAAGCUCCUGAGUUUUGGCAUGUGUCCAGUGCCUCGCACGAACUGCAUACUAGAGUUUGAUGAAUGGAAGAAAACAGAGCCAAUGGGCACAUCAUUUAUCUCAGGUCUGGGUAUGCUUUUCAGGGGCACCGUCUAAGCCUCUGAAUGAUGUUCGGGUAGCAGGCAGCCUUGGGAUGCUCAUUGGUAAGACUGAACAUGUGGAUAUGCCUUUUACUCAAGCACAGGGGGUGGCCAGGCUGCUCGUGAGUGUCGUGGACAUGGAGUACACACCGUAUGUGGUCAGAUGGACGCAUGCGGGCAUGAUAUACAACCUAGACAUUGAGCUGGAGGAUUCUGAUAUGUUCAAGGAGUUAAAUGGAGGGGAAGAUGUGGAUAUGAUCGAUAAGGACGAUGGUACGGGUAACAAUGAGAAGCGAGAUGAGGACGGAUCACGGGACGAGUCUCACAUGCUGGGUGGAAAACCCGCACCGUCCGUGCGAGGGAAGGUCGCGCCACCACCUACUUCUACACCCAUGAACUUGCUGAGAUUUGGUAUGCUUGAGUCUUGUUCUGCGCCUCCUCGCCUCUGGAGUGAUCGCGUUGAGAGUGAUGAUAUUUCUGAGAGCUUGUUGCUGCCUCUUAUUAUGACACCUCCUUCUCGAGCUGGCGGCAAGACGGCGAGGUUGAAGGAGGUUUCUGGUUAGGGCCGUGAUGUAAUAACCCCGCGACAGCCGUUGGGGGACGGGGUGGGGGAAGGUGACGCUGGGUAGGAGGCCCGGGGUCGGUCACCCACAUGGAUUACUGCAUGGCAACCGGGGGGUUCCUCCCGGCAUUAUAGCUAUGGGGCUGGCGAGGGUGGGUGGCGGGCAGGUGGCCCAUGACUCACCCGUUUGUAGCCCAGGGCCUCGGUCGACUCUGGAGCUCACUGGCGUGGUUGGACCGGAGGAGGAGGCGCUAUGACGAGGUGCAGGGGCGUCCUGUUGGCCUCAUCUACUGCACCUGGACUCAUGACGACAGACGGUCCUGUGGCGACGGUCCUUUCCUCGCGGGCGUGGACUACUAAGGAGUUGAUCACGUUUGGUGGCCACCAGGACCCGGUGUCGGCUGGCAGGCAUGUCAGUAACUAGAUCCAGAACCAACCUGACACGGACGACUUCCAUCUAGGGCGUGCUAUGAGGGCCGCCAAGCUUCGGGACAUUGAGUCUACUUCAGGUAUGUCAGUCAAUAAGCAAUGUUCUAUUAUGCAUUUUUCUGAGCAUGAGAUUAUAAGUAAGGUAAAUGAUAUAGGACUCUCACUUGGGUCUAAUAGGAAAGAGAUUGCUAAAUCAGUAAAUGAUAUACUAGACUUAAAGGCUGAGAGAGCGUCUGAGUUGAUAUGGAAUUUAGCAGUUGUUAAAUCUAUGACGGAUAGUGAGAUUAGCAAUUUUGGUAUGUCUGCGCUAGAGAGUUUGUGUGACGGACUAAUGCCUACUUCGGAGGCCGAAGAUGAGGCAGGUGGUUGGCGUCCGAGGGACGUGCUGACUUGCCUAAUUUAGCGUCGUAUGCACUUAUGACAACUAGUCAUGAGGAUGGGCGGUUGGUAGUGAGUAACUCAAACAUUCCUGGAAGAGGAAGAUAUAUCCAACAUCGGCUGUUCACAGAAGUGCGAGAGUCAAUCUCAAGAAAAAAAUUCCAUGAUGAAUAAUGAAAUGGAUUUUCUGGAAUAGCAGAGGUCUAGCUGACUUGGCUAAGAAAAGGUUCCUGGCUGAAGCAUCCAUUGAGGAUAAACUGGAUUUCAUUGCACUUCCUGAGACAGGUAGAGAUAACUUUACCUCGCAAUUCCUCGGAUAUUUGACUGGAGGAAUAGAUUUCGACUGGCAUUGUUUGCCCCCUAGGGGAAGAUCCGGUGGGAUUCUUUUGGGGGUUAAAGUGUGAAACACUAGAAGUGUUAAAUGUCAUGCGAGGGGAUUAUGCAGUUACGUUCCGGGUAAGGUCCAAGUUGGAUGAAUUCUGAUGGGCUCUGGUAGCGGUGUAUGGCGCAGCCCAUACCGAAUUUAAGCCUGAUUUCUUGGUUGAUCUUGUUCGGAUCUGCGGGGAUGAGAGGCUACCGAUUCUAGUGGGAGGAUAUGCUAAUAUCAUUAGGAGGAAAGAAGAGAAGAACAAUGAUAAUUUUGAUGGGCCGUGGUCCCUCCUGUUUAAUAUGAUCAUUGAGAGUCUUAACCUCUGAGAGAUUGAACUCGCGGGUAGGCAGUUCACCUCGGCAAAUUCGUUACCCAUUCCUACUUACGAGAAGAUGCACAGAGUGCUUACAAAUGUGGAAUGGGAACAGAAAUACCCACUAGUAUCGAUUGACGCGAUGCAGAGGGCAAUCUCAGACCAUACACCCUUGUUAGUGGACUCGGGUGAAGCAACACAUAUUGGUAAGAAAAAGAUUUUCUCUUUCGAACUAACUUGGUUCGAACGAGAAAAUUUUCUAGAAAUUGUUGCAAGAGAAUGGGCUAAGCCUGUUGCCGGUAGAUCCGGUGUAGAGCGCUGGCAGAACAAGAUAAGACAUCUGAGACAAUUUUUGAGGGGUUGGGCCAGAAAUGAGAACGGGAUAUAUAAACAAGAAAAUGAACGGCUUAUCCAGUUGAUUCAUGAUCUCGACUUGAGAGCGGAAACGAAUCUGCUGGAUGAGAUAGAACAGGUCGUAAAGUCCAAAGCUAAGUUGAACCUACGUGCUCUCCUUCGAGAAGAAGAAAUUAAGUGGGCAUUACGUGCUAAGGUUCUUAAGGUCGUCCAAGGGGAUGAUAAUACUCAGUUUUUCAUAUGAUUGCAAAUGGUAAACAUAAGAAAAAGAAAAUCAUCCAGCUUGAGCAACAUGAGGGAACAGUGGUGGGACACAAGAAUCUCAAAUUAUAUAUAUCCAACUAUUACAAGCAACUUUUUGGGCCUCCGGUAGAUAACCCGGUGUCCUUGGAUGAAUGUGUAGUUGGGGACGUACCUCAGCUCCGGUCAGAUGAGAAUGAGAUUUUAUCUGCACCUUUUACUGAGAAAGAGGUUUUCAAGGCGAUCUCUCAUAUGAAGCCAAAUAAACCACCAGGUAUGGAUGGGUUUCCCACGGAAUUCUAUAAGAAAUGUUGGCAUAUUGUGAAGGAUGACCUUAUGCCUAUGUCUCAUGACUUCUUUAAUGGCCAUCUGCAACUGUUCCACCUCAACUUUGGCACGAUCGUGUUGUUGCCAAAGAAAUAGGAAGCAAUUCGAAUAGAGCAAUUCAGGCCAAUAUGUCUUCUGAAUGUGAGUUUCAAGAUUUUUACGAAAGUGUCCACAAACAGAUUGGCAUGGAUUGCCCAUUCGAUGGUGCAACCUAGUCGGACUGCUUUCAUGCCUGGAAGACAUAUCCUAGAGGGGGUUGUUGUCUUACAUGAAAUUCAUUCGAAGAAACUAGAUGGGGUAAUCUUCAAAGUGGAUUUUGAGAAGGCAUAUGAUAAGGUCAAAUGGCCAUUCCGGCAACACGCCAUGCGCAUGAAGGGUUUGAAUGGAGCAUGGAGGGAUAGGGUGGAUUCUUUUGUCCAAAAAGGUAGUGUCGAGAUUAGGGUGAAUGAUGACAUUGGUCACUAACUAUUUCAAGACGCAUAAAGGCCUACGACAAGGAGACCCAAUGUCCCCUAUUCUAUUCAACAUCGUGGCAUACAUGUUGACAGUGCUCAUAGGUCGGGCCAAGGAAAAAGGCCUGGUAGGUGGUUUUGUCCCCCAUUUGGUGGAUGGGGGCGUUUCUAUCCUACAAUAUGCUGACAACACUAUCCUAUUCAUGGAGCAUGACCUUGCAAAAGCGAGGAAUAUGAAAUUAGUGUUGUGCCCUUUUGAACAAUUUUCCAGUCUGAAAAUUAACUUUCAUAAGAGUGAAUUGGUUUGCUUUGGUCGGGCCAAGGAAGAACAAGACAACUAUAGAGAAUUGUUCGAUUGUGAACUGGGAUCUUUGCCUUUCAGCUAUCUAGGCAUUCCAAUACAUCACCGGAAAUUAACUAAUAAAGAGUGGAAAUGUAUCGAAGAUUGAUUUGAGAAAAAAACUAAGCUGCUGGAAGGGUAAGCUUAUGUCAUAUGGAGGGUGGCUAGUGCUGAUUAAUUCAGUCCUGGCCAGUAUGUCGAUAUUCCUUCUAUCUUCCUUUGAAAUACCUAAGGGGGUACGAAAGAGACUAGACUUCUAUCGAUCUCAAUUUUUCUGGCAGUCAGACGAGGUUAAGACAACAUAUCACUUGGCAAGAUGGGAUAUAAUUUGUCGACCCAAAGACCAGCGGGUCUUGGGAUUGAGAACCUCAAGAUUAAAAACAAAUGCCUAUUGAGAAAAUGGCUGUAUAGGUUAUCUCAAGGAUCGGGUGGCAUGUGGGCACAAAUUCUACGGACUAAAUACCUACACUCUAAAACUCCGGCUCAGGUUACCGUAAGACCUAAUGAUUCACCAUUUUGGAAGGGGCUCAUGAGAAUUAAAGAUACUUUCUUCCAUAGGGUGAGUUUCAUUGUCGGGGAUGGAACGACAACAAGGUUUUGGGAGGAUACUUGAUUAGGCGAGACGCCGUUAGCCCUGCAAUAUCCUACCUUGUAUAAUAUUGUGCAAUGUAAGGAGGAUUAUGUGGCAACAAUAUUGCAGACGGUACCUUUGAAUAUCUAGUUUCGGAGGGCUUUAGUAGGGGAACAAUGGAACUCAUGGUUGCACUUGGUGCAGAGGUUGAUGGACGUUCAAAUCUCAGACCAAGCAGACGCCGUGAAAUGGAAGCUAACAAUGAAUGUAGUGUUUUCAAUUAAAUCUAUGUACUUAGACCUUAUUAAUUCUGGCCCAAUCCCAAGACCGAUACACAUUUGGAAAGUAAAGGUUCCCUUGCGCAUUAAAAUUUUCAUGUGGUUUGUCCACAAGCAGGUGAUUCUUACUAAAGAUAACUUACUAAAGCGACGAUGGGUCGGCAGUCCAUGAUGUUGUUUUUGUGUUCAUCAUGAAACAAUCCAACAUUUAUUUAUUGAUUGUCCUCUAGCAAAGUUACUUUGGCGAUCUAUACAUAUAGCCUUUAACAUCACGUCGCCGGAUAGCAUAGAUGCGUUGUUUGGGAUGUGGCUAAAUGGGAUACAACCUGAGAUUGCGUCAAGUAUUCGGAUUGGAAUAUGCACACUUCUUUUGGCUAUAUGGAACUACAUGAAUGAUAUGAUUUUUAACAGGUUACAUAUUUUGAACUUCUUGCAGGUUAUUUUUAGAGCUACGGCAUGGAUCCGUACGUGGUUGUUACUCACUCCUAUGGCUCCAGGGAGCAUUUGGCUAUUGGGUGCAACCGAUGGAUGGUAGCACGGGCUAUCUUCAACCAGUUUGAAUGGCAGUCGCAUAAUAGGAUAGGUCCUUAAUGUCCUUUCAUCCAGCCGGUUGUGGCUAUGAUUUAUUUUCUUAGCUUUUUUCAUUUGUGCUCCCUUUGUGAGUUGUACUCCGGAUUCCAUACUUUGUGUUUUGCCGAACUUGUUUAAUAAUAUGGCCGCAUGCAUCUUAGGCGAUAACCUCCUUUUAAAAAAAUUGCCUUCAGCUUGCACCGUGAUUAAUUUGUUGUACAUGUCGCGUUUGUGUAUGUAGUUGUGUUCUUGGUGCACUCCAAAAUACACAUGGUAUACUACCUUGAAUCUUUAUAUAAGAACAAUCUCAUGCAUUUUAUAUGAAGGAAGUAUGAAAAUCGACCGACUCAAAAAAUUUAAACUGUUUUCAAUGAAAAUAAAACUGGAGUUUUCGGGGUGAAGAGAAAUUAGGCACAUGAGGGUUGCUAGCUUGUUCCUAUCACAAAAUCUGAAGGACCAGCUACUUUUCGUGCACAGCGACAGUAGCCUCCCCGUUGCUAGUUCCAAAAAGCCUCCUCGUUGCCAGCUUUUGUUGAGCUCCAAUGCCUUCACCUUGCAUGGUGCAAGUAGGAGCAGCUGCUCCGCUGCUGCCUUGUCCUGCAUGUCAGGAACUGGCUAAGCUUAUCACUGAAUUUUGUAUGAGAACAAUACUUGAUCAUAUUUGAUUCCAAAAAAUAUUCAAAACUUUUUAACUUUUUUCGAAAAUGAUAAUUACUAAUUUAUUUGGUGCAUAUAGGAUGCACUGGUACCCCAGAGCACCAAGUUCGCUUCUGAGAGCACCCUGGCAGCGCUCCCAAGAGCACCCAAAUGGAGGAUUAUAUAAAAGAUUACAACCCAUACAACUCGGUACCAGGUGAAAAGCAAAUUGUAAAGGAAAAAGGUAGAGGUGAGUGAAAGCACAGUGCUCCCUGGGUGAUUUUGGUAAAUAAUAUCAACAUAUCUCUUGUUGGACUAAUGUUUUCAUCUAGUAUAUUUCAGACAAGUUCAACAGAUGGAGUGGCGUGGACAAGAGGAUGUGGAACCCCUUCAAAAUUCCAAGGACAAAAGAUUGGCUCAAGCUCUCAAGCUCAAGACUCUACAUUUUACCUUUGGUGAUCCAAGAUCACAUUGAGUCCAUCGGAAAAGCCAAUACUAUUAAAAGGGGAUGAGGGUGUUGCUUAAUGGCUUGCUUGCUCUAAGUGCUUAGUGAUAUGCUCCAAAAACCCUCAACCACUUUAUCAUAUCCACAUAUGUCCCAAACCAAAAGUCAAACUUGGCCCCACCGAUUUAAUCCAUCCAGGCGCCACCGAGUUCUCUUGACAUAGCCACUACCACAAACCCUAAUCAAUUUGGUCUCACCGAUGGGAUCUCGUUCUCACCGAGAUGGGCUUACAAACUCUCUGUUACCUAUUGCAAUAAUUUCGGUCCCACCGAGAUAUGCAAUCGGUCCCACCGAGUUUGCUUGACCAACUCUCUGUUUUUCUUAUUACCAAAAUCGGUCUCACCGAGUUUGUGUAGUCGGUCAAAUCGAGAUGAGGUUUUACCCUAACCCUAGCACAUCGGUCCCACCGAGUUGAUCAUAUCGGUCCCAUCAAAAUGCCUAACGGUCACAUUAUGAACUAAAUCGUUCUGACCGAGUUUUCUAAUUCGGUCCCACUGAGUUUGGUGAUUUGUGUGUAACAGUUAGAUUUUGUGUGGAGGCUAUAUAUACCCCUCCACCAACUCUUCAUUCGUGGAGAGAGCAAUCAUAACAUGCCUACACUUCCAACAUUCAUUUUCUGAGAGAGAACCACCUACUCAUGUGUUGAGACCAAGAUAUUCCAUUCCAACCAUAUGAAUCUUGAUCUCUAGCCUUCUCCAAGUUGCUUUCCACUCAAAUAUUCUUUCCAACAAAUUCAAAUCAAUGAGAGAGAGUUGAGUGUUGGGGAGACUAUCAUUUGAAGCACAAGAGCAAGGAGUUCAUCAUCAACACACCAUCUAUUACCUUUUGGAGAGUGGUGUCUCCUAGAUUGGUUAGGUGUCACUUGGGAGCCUCCGUCAAGAUUGUGGAGUUGAACCAAGGAGUUUGUACGGGCAAGGAGAUUGCCUACUUCGUGAAGAUCUACCCUAGUGAGGCAAGUCCUUCAUGGGCGAUGGCCAUGGUGGGAUAGACAAGGUUGCUUCUUCGUGGACCCUUCGUGGGUGGAGCCCUCCGUGGACUCGCGCAACCGUUACCCUUCGUGGGUUGAAGUCUCCAUCAACGUGGAUGUACGAUAGCACCAUCUAUCGGAACCACGCCAAAAAUCUCCAUGUCUUCAAUUACGUUUGCAUACUCCAAUCCCAUCCCUUUACUUUCUUGCAAAUUGCACGCUUUACUUUUCGCUGCUCAUAUACUCUUGCCAUGAUUGCUUGAAUGUAUUGUGGAUGUUUAAACUUGUGCUAAAACUCUACCUUAUCUCGAAGAAAAUAAAAACUGCAACUUUUCUUUGUUAGGAGUCUAUUCACCCACACCCCCCCCCCUAGACACCUCUUCUCGAUCAUUUCAGUGAGCUUUUGGAUUGGAGAUUGAUGCCAGAGAAACCUUCUGAAACACAGAGAGGGCAAAUGUCAAUAAUCUUCAGACAAGUUUAGAGAAGGAUCGUUGACUAGUUCUACAAACCUGACAUUCGAUCUGCCGAUCCACUACGUGGCAUAGGCAUAGUGAAAUGCGUGGGCACAUGGUAGUUCGCCAUACCCUCGUCAUUUUGGUACUCGCCAAGGCAUCUGCCACAGUUUCAUGGUGGAUUGAACAACCAACUGGAAAGAAAAGACUGUAUACAGUAAGCUUUCUAUACAAUCUUACGUGGUAAAAAAAUCUCGUUUGUGCUUGGGGGGCAUGCCCCCCUUAGACCUUCACGUAACUCUGUUGUUGGCUAUUGAUCUAUCAAGCAUGCUUGUGAGCAUGUCUGUCUAUUGAAAACAAAAACAAAGCAUGUCAGUCUUCCACUUACUGUGGUUGUUCUCCUCACACUCUGGAGUAAUAUCUCAAAUGGACUGGUUGCUUGGCGCAGCCUGAACUCCAGCUGUCACUGGAUUGGGCCUCCUCCAAUCGUUGGUAGAUGACGCUCACACUACUGUCUGGCAGAUAGGGCAGAUGGCCUGACAGCCGCCGAUCCACUAUCGGGCACAUCCAUAGUGGAAGAUGUGCCCGCGGUGGAGGGAUGCCAUCUAAUCCUCGUCCUCAUACUCAUCGGAGCAGAUGCAACACUCUGAGUCAUCGUCUUGGGUCUAUCGUGUAACAUGCAGCUCAGUGAAGACCACCUUCAGGAUCCUGCCCACGACACUAUGAAAAGAGCCUGCCUCUCGUCUCUUGGCAACGCAUCUGAGCAUUGCAUGAUAGAAGACAAAUGCCAAUACUAUCAGCACAAAAAGCCUGCCUAAGCUCCCCGCAAUCCCAAGACUCUCCCUGUCAUUGUUGCUAACAUGUACAAGUUGCCCCCACUGUACCAUUGAUGAAACACAACUGAAAAGUAUACGGAGUUGAGAGUUAGUUUGUUAACACACAUGGGCAUUUUCAACUAAAAAUGUAAGUGUAGCGGUGUGCCAGGCCGUUUUGAGUGGCAUAGCGCAGCUACCUACUCAGAAGUGUACCUAUAGAAUGCUCUCGAAAGAGAUUGACUCUCAUCAUGUCACGGCGGCGCUGCCCUGGAAUAUGGACAAUUUCCCUUGUAAAUACUUGGGAUGGCAACUUCCUAUCUGGCAGCUCACUAGAUCUGAGUGGCAGCCUAUCAUGGACAUAGUUUUGAAGUUCCUUCCAGGCUGGCAGAAAGGUAUGACCACUAGAGUUGGGAAGCUGAUUCCGGUGAACAUAGUUGUUCGAGCUAAAACUACGGACCAUCUUCUAGUGGGUUGUGCAACGAGUAGACAAAGGCUCCAGGGAAAUUUUGGGGGGAAGGAUCUGAGGAGAUUCAUGGUGGGAAGUGUCUCGUUGUAUGGCGGAAUGUUUGCAGACCGAAAUACCUAAGAUGCGAACAUUCAGACAGAAUGUAUAUGCAGGCGGGUUGGAUACCUUACUGGAGAGGUCGUCGGAGAUGAGGGAGUUCUUGUAGAGGCAGGUGGGGAAGACAUAGGGAGUGGAGAGGGAGAGGGAGAUGGUGAGGGAGAGAGGGGGCUUAAGAUGAGUGCUUGGCAUAGGUUGACGGCAAGGGAGAAAUAGAAGCUGAAAGCGACGGCUAACAACAAUUUAGUACUCCCUCUGUCCCAAAAUAUAAGAACGUUUUUCACACUACACUAGUGUAAAAAACGUUCUUAUAUUAUGGGACGGAGGGAGUACAAAUGUGGUACUACAAUAAAACACAUGUCACUUUUACUUCGAGUGCAUACAAGGCUUGAUAAAAAGUUUGACUUGGAACAAAGCUAAACCUUGAAUUAAUAUGGAAUGGAAGGAGUACUUAGUUAUUUAUGAAGAUGCUGCUAUUUCAAAAGAUUCUAUCACAAAGUCACGCUGGAUAGUGCAUAAUCAGAAACAAGAGACAACCAUUUAUAGGAAACAUAAAGCCGUGUAUUCCUAGAAUAUUGCUGUAACAACACCGCUACGCUUUCUAUUGCACUUAAUGCUGCAACCUUCCCUCGUUAGUGCCAAUACAGCAGGUUCCCACAUUUCUAAAAUCGAAACCUUCAAAAUUAAUGAUAAGAAGAGUUUCCCACGAUUAUAUGACAUAAAGAAAAGUGUAGCGAAAUUCGUUGAGCCAUGGACAGACCACAGACAGAAGAACUUCAUAAGACACAUGGCCAACUAAAAAAGGGCUUGCUUGAUAAGCUCCUUAGUUUCAAGAUCUGCACAGAUAGUGAUUCUGUACUCAGAAAUAUGUAUGUAUGGUUCUUCAAAUAUUUUCUCUUGUUAUAAUUAAACAAAACAGUUGCAGAACUAACAUUAUUCAAGAAAUUCAUUAGGAGGCAUGGAGCUGAGAUACAUCACUAGCUGAAACAAAACAUAUGCAGCUUGAAUACGAAAAAAAAACAAAACAUAUGAUAUUCACAAAAAAGGAAAGAAAACAUAUGCAACUUGAGUACAAAAGUUUACGUCUAUCUCAGCAUACUCACCGCAAGGGAUUUUUCUUUGCUCAUUAGCAUAAAUCUUCCAGAUGCCCCUUGCAAAAGAGGAGAAAAGCUUCAGAUAGAGUUAAAUAUAAUGAGCAUCCUACUGAACGUUAUAAUGGUUAAUUCUUUUAUAGUAUUUUUCUUGAAUACGCAUAGCAUGCCUAUCAUCUAUUAAAGGAGAAUAAUAUGGUACAAGAGCCCUCCACAUAGGGUGUUAUAACACACCCAUCCACCUCUACUCUAUCUACUUAAGCUACGUCUCGUUUGUUGCCCACACAUGGAUCCACCCAAAGAAAUGGUCUAAGUUCGCCCUCAGCAAGCCCGCCAUCUUCCAAGCUCUACCCUCACUUAGAACCCUACCUAGGAGCCGCUCUAGCUAUGGCGACUCUCCAUCAAAAACAGUGUCGUUACGGUGUUUCCAUAACCCCCAUAGACAGAGAGUAAGGAUUGCACGCAAAUCCUUGUCAUGCAUGCCCUCCACUCUUCUGUUCAAGAUCCACGCCGGAAGGAUGUCCUCCUGAGUUGGUGUCCAUUUCGGCAUGCCCAAUGCCGUGCACACCUGGAGCCAAAAAGUUCUCAAGAAGACACAUUGUGGUUUAAUGUUUCAUCCUCUUGGUUGCAUAGAGUGCAAACGUCUUGAUGCGGUAGCCCCCUCCUGGCCAAGCGGUUCGAUGUCCAGCAUAUCUUCCUUCCUAUUAGCCAUACAAAAAAUCAGCGUUGUAAGGGUGCUUGAGACUUCCACGUAAACUCGACCGUUGGGGCUAUUUGUCGUCUCACAAAUUUCGAUACACACGCCGAUCGGGCAGAAUAGAUUCCUUCGGUCUCCCAUGCUCAUUUCACCAUGUCCGGGACUCCUUGUAGCUGCAUUGCCUCAGCUCUCGAACUUAACAACAUAUACUCCACCAACAUAUCAAAGUCUACGUCAGGCCCAAUGAUGUUUGCCCACGAUCGGUUCUCCAUAGGUUGUACGUACGCGUAGUUGAGAGUGUACCCGAGCUGGAACCUAGGCAUAUACCUUCGGUGCAAUUUCCUUGAUUCUCUAGCCGUUUAUCCAUGUAUCCUCCCAAUAAAUGUUUGAAAAAUGUUUUCAGAUUUUAAAAAGUUUCAUGAAUUUAUUUAAGAUUUUUCUAGAAGUUCAAAAAAUGUGUGUAAGUACAAAAAAAAUUGUGAAUUUCAAAAAUGUUUGUUAAUUCCAAUAAUGCUCAUGAAUUCAAAAAAUUGUUCAAAUGUUUUUAAUAAAUGUUUCUAAAUUUCAAAAAAUGUUCGGUAAUUAAAAAAUGUUUGCGGUCUCGGAAAUGUGUAUGUACCUACGCAAGCUGUACAGGUCAUAUACACACCAUCCGUUGGGAGGCACACUACUUUGAGAUCUAUGCAGCUAUGCACCAGAGGGCACUGUGCUACGGGUUUUUGUGCAUAUUCAUAAGUUGGAAAAGUAGCAACGGGACACAUGGAGGAUGUGGUUACUCUCAUAAUGGUUCUAGAGUGAUCGUGACUAAAUUUUUGUACACAUACCUAAAAAAAGUUAUCACAAAAGUUUUUCUUUGUCACUUUAGUUUAUCAACUUGAUUUCUCAAGGACAAGCAAUAAGCUAAGAUUGGGGGAGCUCAUACGCCUCACACGUAUCUACUUUUUCGGGCACUAUUGCUAUGAUUUUGUCCUCUAACUUGCAUGAUUUGAGUAAAAAAUAAUCAGAAUUGGCUUUGUUUUCAGCAGAAUUGGCAUUAGUGUUAUUUUUGUGCAGAAAUGAAGUUUCCCACAAAAAAUAAGAAAAAUACCAAAAAUUCUUGUCGGAGAAAAGAGCCAUGGAGCCAGAAGAUGAGUCGGGGGCGCACCAGGUGGCCCCAAGGGCCCACCAAGCGGCCCGGGGGCGGGUGGCCCCCAUGGUUAUCGCCUUACGUCCCCCGUUUAGCAUAUAUUUACCCUCCGCCUCAACAUGUUUAACCUGUUUUAUUGGGAUAUUUUGUGAUGCGGAGCAACGAUUGCUUGUAUCAACAUUGGUAUUUCCCAGAAGAGGAGAGGAUGACGCAUCACAUCAUCGGUAAGUAUUUCCCUCAGUUAUGAAACUAAUAUUAUCAAUCCAGUAGGAUAACCAAGCAACACUAUGUUAACACCUGCACACAAAUAACAAGUACUUGCAACCCAACGCUUAAGAGCGGUUGUCAAUCCCUCCUCGGUAUUGAGAUAGAUUAAAUUGUAUGAGAUUGGAUAAAUAGAUCUAGAAAAAAAAAACUAAAAUAAAUAAAGAAAAAGUGCAGCAAGGUAUUUUUGGGCUUUUACAAUAAUAGAUUUAAAAACAAUAUGAUAGGAAAUAGACCCGGGGGCCGUAGAUUUCACUAGUAGCUCCUCUCGAGAAAAUAGCAUACAGUGGGUAAACAAAUUACUGUUUGGCAAUUGAUAGAAGUGCAGAUAAUUAUGACGAUAUCCAAGGCAAUGAUCACGUAUAUAGGCAUCACGUCCAACAUUAGUAGACUGACUCCUGCCUGCAUCUACUACUAUUACUCCACACAUCGACCGCUAUCCAGCAUGCAUCUAGUGUAUUAAGUUCAUGGAAAACGGAGUAAUGCAAUAAGAACGGUGAAAUGAUGUAGACAAGAUCUAUUCAUGUAGGAAUAAGCCCCAUCUUCUUAUCCUUAAUGGCAACGAUACAUGCGUGUCAUGUCUCCUUUUGGUACUAAGAAUAAACACCGCAAGAUUGAACCCAUCACAAAGCACCUCUUCCCAUUGCAAGAAAAAUUAAUCUAGUUGGCCAAACCAAACCAAAGUUUCGAAGAAGAAAUACGAGGCUAUAAUGAUCAUGCAUAUAAGAGUUCAACAAAGACCCAAAUAACAUUCAUGGAUAGAUCUGAUCAUUAACUCACGAUUCAUCGGAUCCCAACAAACACACCGCAAAAAGUCAUUACAUCAAAUAGAUCUCCAGGAACAUCGAGGAGAACAUUGUAUUAAAGAUCAUAAAGAGAGAAGAAGCCAUCUAGCUACUGCUUACGGACCUGUAGGUCUGUGGUAAACUACUCAUGCAUCAUCAGAGGAGCACCAAUAAGGAUGUUGAAUGUACCCCUCCGUGAUCAUUUGCCCCUCCGGCAAGGUGCCGGAAUAGGGCUCUAGAUUGGCUCUCGUGGUUCUGGAACUUGCGGCGACUAGAAUUGUGUUUCGUCGACUCCCCUAGGGUUUCUGAAAUAUUUGGGUAUUUAUAGACCUGAGAGGCGGUGGAAAAGAUUACCUUGGGUCCCACAAGGCACCAGGGCACGCUAGGGGUCUCUAGCGCGCCCUGGUGUCUUGUGGGCCCCACGGGCCUCCACUGGUACACCUCCUAGGCUCCCUGGGUCUCUUUUGGGCAGAAAAAAUCUCCAAAAAGUUUCGCUGCAUUUGGAUUUCGUUUGAUAUGGAUAUUCUGCAUAAAAAACAAGCAAAAAACAACAACUGGCACUGGGCACUAUGUCAAUAGGUUAUUCCCAAAAAUGAUAUAAAAUUUCUAGUAAAUGAAUAUAAAACAUCCAAGAUUGAUAAUAUAACAACAUGGAGCAAUCAAAAAUUAUAGAUACAUUCGAGACAUAUCAGCAUCCCCAAGCUCAAUUCCUGCUCAUCCUCGAGUAGGUAAAUGAUAAAAACAGAAUUUUUGAUGUGGAAUGCUGCCUAACAUGUUCAUCACAUAUUCUUUUCUUUUGUAGCAUGGACAUUUGGACUUUUAGAUGAUUCAAAGCAGUAGUCUAUAAUUGACAUGACGACAUCAAUACUCAAGCAUAUCAACAAGCAACCAUGUCUUUCAAAAUAUCAACACUAAAGAAAGCUAUCCCUAGCCCAUUAUGCUAAAUCAUUGAUCCAUUCAUGGAACACACUUCAAUAUUAGCUACAUCCAAUGCACAAGUAUGAUCACAGUGCUCCCUAGUUGGUGCUUUAUAAGAGAAGAUGGAGACUCAAAUAAAAAUUAAAAUUUCAUAAAGUAAAUAGAUAGGCCCUUCGCAGAGGGAACCCGAGAUUUGUAGAGGUGCCGGAGCUCAAAGCUUAAAUUGGGAGAUAAAAUAUUUUGAGAGGAAUGCUUUUCUCAUCAACGAAAAUGACCGAGAAGUCCCAGUACUUUUCAUGCUAAAUACAUCAUAGGCGGUUCCCAAACAUAAAAUAAAGUGUAUUCCUUUUUCCUCCUUUCUUUCACAAUUCAUGGCUAGCCGUAUCCACGGGUGCCUUCCAUACUAACACUUUCCAAGGAAUUUAUUAUUUAUCAACAUAAAGUAUUUUUUCAUUUCAGGACUGGGCAGCCCUCUUACCUUGCCACACUCUCGUGCAAUGACAAGUGAAUAAACACUCAUCUUGAGAAUAACACGUCUAGCAUGGAAAAAUAUUGGCCACCCCCUGUCACUUUAUGAGCGAUACGGGCACACAAAAAGGAAAUUGAUUUUGAAAAUUAGAGUUGGCACAUACAAAUUUAGUUAGAACGACACGGAAAUACCGCAUAUAGGUAGGUAUGGUGGACUCAUUUGGCAUAACUAGUUUAAGGAGUUUGGAUGCACAAGCAGUAUUCCCGCUUAGUACAAGGAAAGACUAGCAAAUAGAUUGAGCAACCAAGAAAGGAAAACAAUCAUAAAUGAGCAUUAAACAUAACUAACACCGAAUAAUGCACCACAAGUAGGAUGUAACUUCAUUGCAUAACUAUUGACUUUCGUGCUUGCAUAGGGAAUCACAAACCUCAACACCAAUAUUCUUACUAAAGCAUAAGCACUCACCAACAUGACUCACAUAUUACUAUCUCCAUAUCUCAAAACUAGUACAAGGAGUCAAGUUUAUAAUAUCCAAUGAUCUUCAUGAAAUAUUUUAAUAUAUCCCCCUUGGAUAUCAAUCACUUUGGGACUAUUAUCAUAUAUUACCAUUGCUUAUAACAACCUCUCAAACAAAUUUAAGUGAAGAAUAUGAGCAUAAAUAUUUUUUCAUCUCUCAAAAUAAUAUAAGUGAAGCAUGACAAAAUUUAUUCAAAAAUUUACUAACUCUCAAAUUGAUCUAAGUGAAGCAUGAGAGUAUUUCUUCUAAAAUUAGAGCACCACCGUGCUCAGAAAGAUAUAAGUGAAGCACUAGAGCAAUUCCAUAGCUCAAAAAAUUUAAGUGAAGCACAUCGAGCAAUUCUAACAAAUCAUAGCAUCAUUAUGGCUCUCUCAAAUAGGGGUGUCCAGCAAGGAUGAUUGUGACAAACUAAAAAGAAAAACAAGCAAAGACUCAUAUAAUACAAGACGCUCCAAGCAAAACUCAUGAUAUGUGACGAAUAAAAAUAUAACUCCAUGUAAAAUUACCAAUGAUCAUUAGAAGAAAGAGAGGAUGCCUUCCGGAGAAUCCCCAAGCUUAGGCUCUUUUCACUCCUUAUUCCUUUUUAUCCAUCGUGACCUCACCCAAAACUUGAAAAAUUCAAUCACACAAAACUUAACAAAACCUUCGUGAUAUCCGUUAGUAUAAUAAGGAAAAUUACCACUUUAAGUACUAUUGCAAACCCAUUCAUAUUUAAUUAUUGCAUUACCUAAUGUACUCUAACUUUACCAUGGUUUAUACCCCCGAUACAAUCCAUAGAUUCAUCAACAUAAGCACACAAUGCAACAAAAAUAGAACAGUCUGUAGUAAUCUAGACUUUGAGCAUAGUUCUGUAACUCCAAUAAUUCUGAAAAGUUAGGAACAUAGGAAAUUUGUAUAUAAAUCUUGUGUAACAAAAUUCAGAAUUUUAUCCCGCUUCUGUGAUUUUUAACAAUUCUGCUACUCGGCGUAAAAGUUUCUGUUUUCCAACAAGAUCAAAUCAACUAUCACCCAAAAUGAUCCUAAAGGAUUUACUUGGCACAAACACUAAUUAAAACAUAAAAACACAAUCAUAACAGUAGAAUAAUUGUAUGACCACACGAAAACAGAAAGAAAAAGAAAAAAUAUUGUAUUCAUUGGGUUGCCUCCCAACAAGCUCUUUCUUUAUAGCCAUUAAGAUAGGCUUGUGAUUUUAUUGAUGCUCACAUUAAGAUAAUAAUUGAAACACAAAGAGAGCAUCAUAAAACAUGUGACAAGCACAUUUAAGUCUAACAUACUUCCUAUGCAUAGAAAUUUUCUAAGCAAACAUAUUAUCAAGGUAAGCAAAAACUGGCAAAUGCAGGGAAGAAGAAAGAAACAAUAGUAACCUCAACAUGACGAGAGGUAAUUUAGUAACAUGAAAUUUUCUACAACCAUGUUUUCCUCUCUCAUAAUAACUACUUGUGGGAUCAUAAUCAAAUUCGGCAAUAUAGCUAUCACAUAACAUAUUCUCUACAUGAUCCACAUGCAUGCAAAGUUGACACUCUUCCAAAAUAGUGGGAUUAUCAUCAAAUAAAAUCAUGACCUCUCCAAACCCACUUUCAUAAAAAAAAUCAUAAGAUUGAUCACACUCCAAAUAUGUGGGAUUAUUUUUGCCUAAAGUUGACACUCUUCCAAACCCACUUUCAAUAUUAUCGCAAACAUAUUCAUCAUGAGGCUUAAAUAAAUUUUCAAGAUCAUAAUAAGAAGCACCCCAAUCAUGAUCAUUGCAAUAAGUAGAGAACAUAACAAAUUCAUCAUCCCCAAGCUUUGGGCUUUGCAGAUCAUUAACACAAUUGACAUUAAUAGAAUUUAUAAAAACUUCAUUGCAAUCAUGCUUUUCAUUCAAGGAUCUAUCAUGAAUCACUUCAUAAAUUUCCUCAUUUAACACUUCAUCACAAAUUUCAGAUUCAUGAAUCUCAGGCAAAACUUCAUAAAUAUAAUCUAGUGAAUUUAAUUCACUAGCAAUUGAUUCAUCAUAAUUGGAUCUUUUAAAAAGAUUAGGAAGUGUAUGAGGAUCCAUAUCAAUAGAUUUUUAGCAAGCGAAGAUGCAACAAAUAGAAGGCACAUGGCAACACAAGCAAACAAAAGAUCGAACAAGAAAAAGGCAAACAAAAAAUAUUUUUGUAUUUUUUAGCAAAAACAUUUUAGAAGUGGGGGAGGUGAAAAUGAGAGGCAAAUGGAAAAUAAAGUAAUUGCAAGGAGAUGAGAUUUGUGCUUGGGUACCUGAUAGAUGUUGAUGAUGUCUCCCCCGCAACGGCGCCAGAAAUUCUUCCCGAUUGCUUGUAUCUGCGUUGGUAUUUCCCCGAAGAGGAGAGGAUGAUGCGGCACAACAAUGGUUAGUAUUUCCCUCAGUUAUGAAAUCAAGGUUUUCAAUCCAGUAGGAGAACCAAGCAACACUAUGUAAACAACACCUGCACACAAAUAACAAAUACUUGCAACCCAAUACAUAAGACGGGUUGUCAAUCCCUCCUCGGUAUUGAGAUGGAUUAAAUUGUAUGAGAUUGGGUAAAUAGAUGUAGCGAAAACACUAAAUAAAAUAAAGAAAAAAAGUGUUGUAGGGUAUUUUGGGGUUUUUGGAAUAAUAGAUCUGAAAACAAUAUGAUAGGAAAUAGACCCGGGGGCGUAGAUUUCACUAGUGGCUUCUCUCAAGAAAAUAGCAUAUGGUGGAUAAACAUAUUACCGCUGGGCAACUGAUAGAAGUGCAAAUAAUUAUGACAAUAUCCAAGGCAAUGAUCAUGUAUAUAGGUAUCACGUUCAAGAUUAGUAGACCGACUUUUGUCUGCAUCCACUACUAUUACUCCACACAUCAACUGCUAUCCAACAUGCAUCUAGUGUAUUAAGUUCAUGGAAAACAGAGUAAUGCAAUAAGAACGAUGACAUGAUGUAGACAAGAUCUAUUCAUGUAGGAAUAGACCCCAUCUUUUUAUCCUUAAUGGCAACGAUGCAUGCGUGUCAUGUCUCGUUAUGUCACUGAGAAUAAGCACCGCAAGAUCGAACCCAUCACAAAGCACCUAUUCCCAUUGCAAGAAAAUCAAUUUAGUUGGCCAAACCAAACAAAAGUUUUGGAAUUUGAAUGAGAACCAUUUUUGAAAUUACCAAACAUAUUUUCAGUUUUUGAACAAAUUUUUGAAAUACAAACAUUUUCUCCACUGUUGGUCAAAUUUUGAAAUUAUAAACUUGGUUGAAAUUACCGAACAUUUUUUUUGAAAGGAGCGAACAAUUUUUUAGAUUCUAAAUAAGUUCAAUUUUUUUGAUAUUUUGAAAAAAAUUCUGAUCAAGAAUUGAAAAUAGGAACAUUUUUAAAAUUGUUAACACAUUUUGCUCUAUUAGAAUAAUUUCUAUCAUUUUUUGAAAAAGGAAAAAAGAAAAGAAAAGAGAAAUAAAAAAAGAAGCAGGAAAACGAAAAUAAGGUAAAAUACGCAAAAAAAAAAUGCUUCAGUGAACCUGCUAGAAGGUUCCCAAAACCGGUUGGGCACAGUGUAGAGCUAGAACUGGGACGGAUCAUUUCUCGUGGAUGGCAUCCUUGCCGUGUGCGAAUCACCGACAAUUUGCUACAGCGAGCGACAAAUAGGGUUUUCUGCCAAACUCUCCUGGACCUCCUAUAUGCCGCUUAUUGUGGCAAGAAGUCCUGGUUUCGCACAUGAUCUCCGGGACCUCCUAUAUGCCUCUUAUUGCGGCAAGGAGUCCUGGUUUCGCACAGGAGACGGCUCACCUUGGCCGGCCCAUUCGUUGUCCUUCAAGGAAUGAAAAAUCCCAAAAAUGUACGAGCGUGAUCCUAAUAGGAAUCAAACCCGCGACCUGCUAUAAGUGCACGUGAAGCGCUAGCCACUGCGAUAGGCGACCUACUGUGAAAUUUUUGCAACACGAGUUUUGAAGAACUUGCUGGCAACGGUGAAAAAGAAAACCAGUUUGCUAAAUUCCAUGAAAUAAGACUUGUGGGCAAGGGAUCAAACUCAAGUCAUCCCGCUACAGAAGCGAGUCUAUAGCCAUUGUAGUAAUGGAGGUUAGUGCAUACAAUGCAGCCCGAUAUAUAUAUGAACUAUAAUCCAUGGCAAAUUAAAAUUUGUUUUGAAAUUGGGCGUAAUUUGUUAAAAGGAUUUUUUGAAACGCAAACAAAUUGAGAACUAAAAAACAAAAAGGAACAAAAAUUGAAUACAAGAAUAUUUUUCAAUCAUGAACUACUUUUCAUAAUCGCAAACAUUUUUUGAUAAACAAUAAAAAAAAUUAAAAAGUGAACAGUUUUCAAAAUUAAAUUACUUUUUAAAAAACUAUAGCACUUUUUGAAUUUUCAAAGUAAUUUUGGAAAUAUGAACGUUUGUGAAUUUGUGAACAAAUUUUGAAAACUAUAGCAUUUCUAAAAAUAUAUGAACAAAUUUGGUAAAUAAGAACAUUUUUUGAAGUUCCCAAAUAUUUAAGAAUUUGUGAAGAGAAACCAAACAUGCAAAUAUUGUUUGAAUUUUUGAAUAAAUUUUGAAGCAUGAACAUUUUUUGAAUAUGUGAGAAAAUUUUGGAAAUGAAAAUAUUUUUGAAUUUGCAAACAAAUUUGCAAAACUGGAAGACUUUUGGAAAUUCCAGAACAUUUUUGAAUGUAUGAACAAAACUUAGAAAUAUGACAAUUUUUUUGGAAUUCUAGAACAUUUUUUAAUUUGUGAACUAAAUUUGAAGUUGUGAUCAUUUUUUUUAAUUUGUGAAUUUUUUUUAAAAGGGGAACUUUUUAAAAACAGAUAUUUUUGGUUUGUGAACAAAGUUUAAAAAGGUAAAUGUUUAUUGAAUUACGAACAUUUUCUGAAACGAAGUGAACAAAUUUUGAAAUUAUGUUUUUUAUAGAACUUAUGAACAAAACUUGAGUACAUGAACAUUUUUUAGAAAUGAACAAAUUUUUAAAAUAAAAACAUAAAAAAACAAAAAUGGAUUGAGAAAGAAAAGUUAAAAUGAAAAGGAAAAAAAUGGAAAGUAAAAAAAAGAAAAAAA
rnacentral:lncRNA from 1 species